CAGUAGCCGGGGAAAACGUAGGGGGCUAGCGUUGUUCGGAAUCACUGGGCGUAAAGCGCACGUAGGCGGAUUUUUAAGUCAGGGGUGAAAUCCCGAGGCUCAACCUCGGAACUGCCUUUGAUACUGGAAAUCUUGAGUCCGGGAGAGGUGAGUGGAACUGCGAGUGUAGAGGUGAAAUUCGUAGAUAUUCGCAAGAACACCAGUGGCGAAGGCGGCUCACUGGCCCGGAACUGACGCUGAGGUGCGAAAGCGUGGGGAGCAAACAGGAUUAGAUACCCGCGUAGUCCCUGUCUCUUAUACA
rnacentral:rRNA from 1 species